UACGAAGGGGGCUAGCGUUGUUCGGAAUUACUGGGCGUAAAGCGCACGUAGGCGGAUAUUUAAGUCGGGGGUGAAAUCCCGGGGCUCAACCCCGGAACUGCCUUCGAUACUGGGUAUCUUGAGUUCGGAAAAGGUGAGUGGAAUUGCGAGUGUAGAGGUGAAAUUCGUAGAUAUUCGCAGGAACACCAGUGGCGAAGGCGGCUCACUGGUCCGAUACUGACGCUGAGGUGCGAAAGCGUGGGGAGCAAACAGG
rnacentral:rRNA from 1 species